rnacentral:ncRNA from 1 species
GGGGAAGACCGGUCGAAGUCCGGCGCUGGCCCGCAACGGUAGGCCGUCCAGGUGCAUCCUGCGGCGGCGAGCCCGAAUACCC